GAUGAAACGCUGGCGGCGUGCUUAACACAUGCAAGUCGAACGAAGCACUUUGGACAGAUUCUUCGGAUGAAGUCCUCAGUGACUGAGUGGCGGACGGGUGAGUAACGCGUGGGUAACCUGCCUCAUACAGGGGAUAACAGUUAGAAAUGGCUGCUAAUACCGCAUAAGCGCACGGUACUGCGUGGUACAGUGUAGAAAAACCUCCGGUGGUAUGAGAUCGGACCCGCGUU
rnacentral:rRNA from 1 species